GGACUACUGGGGUAUCUAAUCCCGUUCGCUACCCUGGCUUUCGUGUUUGAGCGUCAGAAACGUACCAGUGCACUGCCUUCGCCUUUGGUGUUCCCCAUGAUAUCAACGGAUUUCACCCCUCCACCAUGAGUUCCGUGCACCUCUUACGCCCUCGAGCCAUACCGUUUCCCUCGCGCGCCGUAGGUUGAGCCCACGGAUUUUACGAGAGACUAAUAUGGCCGCCUAGACACCCUUUACGCCCAGUGAUUCCGGGUAAUGCUUGGGGCCUCUGUAUUACCGCGGCUGCUGGCAC
rnacentral:rRNA from 1 species